CACAGCAAGAAAUAUCCCCAGGACUUCAUUUUACUUUAUUCCUUGCUGCACCAGAAGAAGAAAGCUUGUUAUAUACUCAGCCUCUUUCUGAUAAAAUCUCUUGGAUAGGAGCCAACUUAGGUGCUGUCAUUAUAGCAGAAGCUGACAAUGGAGUGUGUCCAGCAACUCCGCAAGUGGGAUUACUCUGGAUCAAUUUCAGUUGAACAGGCAGCACCUGUUGUGGACAAGCAAGAACCUUCUUAUUUUAAAAAAAAAAUUCUGCAGUGGCCCAGAACUUUCAGGUAAUGACAAAAAACAAAACAAAACAAAAACUCCACAGCAAUCAAACCCUUUAAACAAGUGCUUAGGCUACCUCCUGUUACCAGGAUUCCACACUGACCCAGUCAGAGAAGCUAUACAAGAAGAAAAGAGAAAUCCUGAAAUCCCCAGCGAAGUCCUGGCAUCUGAUUUGCAAAAUGAAAGCUAGCCCAGACCAAAUAUAAACAGAAACACCACAGCCAAAACAACCAGGCCGGGGAAGGUCACGCUAUCUGAGACAUGCAUAUCACAGUUGGCUUGACAUGCUUCCAAUCUCUUCAAGCAGUGAGAAGGCCGAGAGCGAGCGAGCUGUAGCUCUCAGAACAGGGUUCUCAGAAGUUGUCUCAGCUUUGCCUGUGUUUGGAGGAUGGGAAGUCUGAGACUGAGAAAGGUUUAUGUGACAGGCCCUGUAUCCACAAACACAUAUCUAGGAACAUUUUGAUGAGGAGGGUGCGUUGUUCAAGACUAUUGCUUUAGGGUAGAACUGGGAGAUGUGUGGGCAUCCAGAUGCUGUUGGACUGCAUCUUUCAUAGGGCUAGAGUUGCAAACGGGCUCUGUAUGUGUGUAUGCUUAACUAGCAUAGCAUGAGGAAUGAUAGGAAAUGUAGUACAACAGUAUUUUGAGGAACAGCACACACACUC